UACGAAGGGGGCUAGCGUUGUUCGGAAUUACUGGGCGUAAAGCGCGCGUAGGCGGUGAUCUUUGUCAGAGGUGAAAUCCCAAGGCUCAACUUCGGAAUUGCCUUUGAAACGGGAUCGCUUGAGUCCGAGAGAGGAUGGCGGAAUUCCUAGUGUAGAGGUGAAAUUCGUAGAUAUUAGGAAGAACACCGGUGGCGAAGGCGGCCAUCUGGCUCGGUACUGACGCUCAGGCGCGAAAGCGUGGGGAGCAAACAGG
rnacentral:rRNA from 1 species